UACGAACUGUGCGAACGUUAUUCGGAAUCACUGGGCUUAAAGGGUGCGUAGGCGGCUGCCUAAGUCAGGUGUGAAAUCUCCCGCUCAACCGGGAAACUGCGCUUGAUACUGGGCGGCUCGAGUAGGUAGGGGUGUGUGGAACUUCCGGUGGAGCGGUGAAAUGUGUAGAUAUCAGGAGGAACACCGGUGGCGAAGGCGGGG
rnacentral:rRNA from 1 species